GGGCUCGCCAUGCACGGCCGCGGGGAGGAGGCCGUGCGGGUCUUCCGCGAGAUGGAGGAGCAGGGGACGAGGCCCGACGGCGUAGCCUUCGUCACGCUCCUCUACGCGUGCAGCCAUGGUGGGCUAGUCGAGAAGGGGUACCACUUGUUCUGCAUGAUGGAGGAGAGGUACGGGAUAGAGCCUUCGGUCGAGCACUACGGCUGCAUGGUCGACAUGUAUGCACGGGCGGGGAGGCUGGAGGAGGCGUACCAGUUCGUCCUGCGGAUGCCAGCGAGGCCCAACGCCGUCGUGUGGCGGACGGUGCUCGGAGCGUGCAGCGUCCGCGGGGACGUCGCCAUGGCGGAGCGGGUGGAGCGGCGGCUGGCGGAGCUGGAGCCCGGCGACGCCGGCGACCACGUU
rnacentral:lncRNA from 1 species